GGGCGGCCGUCCUCAGGAGACCCCGACACUUCACAUCCCUGUGGACCGUCAGAGGAGGGUGUGGACUCUGAGCCUCAGAAGCAGGAGCUGACAGAGAAGAACCAAGUGUGAUGUCGAGUGUGCAGACAGGUUCCUGGAGCAAGAGUAAGGAGAUCAGAGUCCCGUCAUUGGGACACUGUAGGGCAGAGCUCUUCAUGCAGAUGACUGACCCCAUGGUAUUGAUUGGCUGAGAGGAUGCACCUUUUCGGGACUCGGCAAAGGAUGGCUGCAAGAAGGGAAGCAUUUCCGGCGCGGAGGAACUGCCUGUGCUUCG
rnacentral:lncRNA from 1 species